rnacentral:misc_RNA from 1 species
AGAUCACUUACUUUUGAAAAUGUACCUAAGCGCUUUAAAAAGAAAACCGCUGCUUCUUACAGAGAGCUGGGAGCAAGGAAGAAAAGAGUCAAUCAGCUGGAAAAGUUGUACGCUGAUAUGGCAUUGCAAAAGAAUUACAGAAACCAGGACGGAAACGCAAACUACGCCCAGAAGAGAUGGUCUCCCCAACAACAAAGCCUGUGUACAAGUGGCAUGCAGAUCGCAA